rnacentral:rRNA from 1 species
AUGUUUUUUUAUACUUCAACCUGCUUUUUCAGGGGAGAGACUUCAACCUGCUUUUUCAGGGGGAGAGACUUCAACCUGCUCAUAAAUGGAGGCUUUAUCCCCUCCAUGUUAGCUGGGCUGAGUCUUGCUAGCCCAGCAACUUUGUUAUCAUAUGUUGUCAGGCCUUCGAUGAUGGUCCGUCUAUAUAGGCCGAUCAUGCCUAUUGCAGCUUCUGGCAUUAUGGGGUUGUUUGGAUUGAGCCAAUGGCCACCCAGCCAGAAAGUUGUGUUAGCUGCAAGCUGGGCAUAUGUUUGGAUGAGUGCCAAUUAUUUAGAUUGUGCCACCGCUGCAUAG